rnacentral:lncRNA from 1 species
AAUUUUUAACCUCUCACAAGAUCAAGGAGAAUAAAAGAGUCAUUCUGAGGAACUAAAUUACAGAAAGAACACCAUGUUAAUGACAACUGACCACACCAGGUCCCCCAGAAGGCUCCCACCUUUCAUUUCUCUUGAGUCCAUGAACUCUGAUAUCAGGUUAUUUUGUGGUUUAUUUGCUUGAUUUUGGGUUUGUUCUGGACUCUGAUUUUUAAAAUUUCCUUUUAAGCAUUAUUUUCAAGCUUCAUGGACAAACCACAGAGACCCAGCUUUAAGCCACCCCCGCCCUCAGUUGAGGGGCCUAAAGACAUCCUCCUCUAUUGACAUAUCAAUAAUAAUAUAUCCAUUUAUCCAUUUGGCCAGCACUUACUCUGUCAAAGUGUUAGUUUUUAGGUUUGCCCAAGAAAUUAGGACAACAUCAUUAAAUUCACACAAACUUCUUCCUUAGGAUCCAGAAACCCGGUUGUCCCCCAAGAGGUAGAAAAGGCUCAAGAAUAAUGCCACAUGGACUUGGCUCCCCAGCCCCAGUUCCACUCAUCAAAAGCAAAUACCAUGUGCAUGUUCUGUGUGUGGCACUGGAGACCCAAAGACAAACUGUUGAUGUUCCUGCCCUAAAGGGUCUCAUGCAGCACUCAGUAAGAAAGACAGGCAGUUGAUUAAAUAACCCAAUCCUCCAACUUCUGCUGACAUAGCACUGUUCCCCCAAAUAUUGGAAGUGAGGGUAGGAAGAGCACCCUAGAAGUUCCAUCACCCACCCCACCCAACCAUCACACUCUCCUGGUGAAACCAUCUAUGCUAUUCCCCAAUUAUCUUGUUUCUGUGAGAAACACAUAUGUUAUUCUCAAGAGUCAUGACGGUACCUGGAAGGGAGCACUAGCUGUGGCAGCUUGGUGUUUCAUGCUGCAGAGGUGAUUGUUGCUCUGUGGGCCAGAGGUCUAGUGUUCUCAAGUCGUGGAAAUAGUGAUUCUUCCCGUUGAAAACUUAACACGUGCUUUAGAGAAAAGAGUAGGAGUAUUUAACUCAGAGCUCCAGCUUCUCACCACCCCUGGCACAUGGCUGGCACAUGGUAUGUCCUGGGUGAUUAUUUCUUGAGUCAUUGGUUGAUGCCAAAGUUCUCUACUAGGCAACAAUCCCUAGAGAUUAGAAAGGCCUAAAGCAGGCUGUGUCCUGGGUUGUCACCUCUCCCCUAGCAUGUCAUAGUUCUGAGGAUUGUGCCCAUCCCUGAGGUGUUCUUAUGAGCUCCUUAUUCCCUAAAAACUACCAGACAUUCCAAGAAGUUUCAUGGAUAGCAGGCAUGGCAGAUGAUUAACUUCCUCCUGUCAUUUCACCUAGGUCUGUGAUCUCUCCUGCGCAAAAUGAGGUUCAAAGAAAGAGAAUGAGAAUGAUAAUGAUUAUUGAAAAGUCCCUCCCACCUCUGAUAUUCUUUGAGCUGCUAAGAUUUGAAAUUUCACUCAAUGGUAUCAGGAGGUUCUGCUAGUUGAGAUUUAGUCUACUUCAAACCAGUGACAGCCAAGACAAUUCUGAAAUGGGCACUGGAUCUUUUUUUUUUUUUUUUUUUUGAAAUGGAGUCUCACUCUUUGUUGCCCAGGCUGGAGUGCAAUGGCGCGAUCUUGGCUCACUACAACCUCCGCCUCCCAGGCUCAAGCAUUCUCCUGCCUCAGCCUCCUGAGUAGCUGGGAUUAUAGGUGCACACUACCACACCCAGCUAAUUUUUAUAUUUUUUAUGGAGAUGGGGUUUCACCAUGUUGGCCAAACUGGUCUCGAACUCCUGACUUCAGAUGAUCCGUCCACCUCAGCCUCCCAAAGUGCUGGGAUUACAGGCAUGAGCAACCGUGCUCGGCCAGAUCUUUUAUUUAUAACAGAUGCCAUAACAUUUCAUACAAAAUUCCCCAUGAUUGGAGAUAUUCAAGUGGAGGCAGGACAAGUGGCUGGGUUGUUGUGUGUGGGCAAGGGUGGCUGUGUACUAUGGGAAUGGGUACAUUAGCAUCCAAAGGGUGAUUA